GACCCGAAACUGAUCGAUCUAGCCAUGAGCAGGUUGAAGAGAGCUCUAACACGCCUUAGAGGAUCGAACCCACGUAUGUGGCAAAAUACGGGGAUGACUUGUGGCUAGGGGUGAAAAGCCAACCAAGAUCGGAUAUAGCUGG
rnacentral:ncRNA from 1 species